rnacentral:rRNA from 1 species
UAAUACAGAGGUCUCAAGCGUUGUUCGGAUUCAUUGGGCGUAAAGGGUGCGUAGGCGGCGCGGUAAGUCGGGUGUGAAAUUUCGAGGCUUAACUUCGAAACUGCAUUCGAUACUGCCGUGCUUGAGGACUGGAGAGGAGACUGGAAUUUACGGUGUAGCGGUGAAAUGCGUAGAUAUCGUAAGGAAGACCAGUGGCGAAGGCGGGUCUCUGGACAGUUCCUGACGCUGAGGCACGAAGGCCAGGGGAGCAAACGG